AUUGAACGCUGGCGGCAGGCCUAACACAUGCAAGUCGAACGAGUGGCGGACGGGUGAGUAAUGUCUGGGAAACUGCCCGAUGGAGGGGGAUAACUACUGGAAACGGUAGCUAAUACCGCAUACCAUCGGAUUUGCCCAGAUGGGAUUAGAGAGUAGGUGGGGUAACGGCUCACCUAGGCGAAGAUCCCUAGCUGGUCUGAGAGGAUGACCAGCAACACGUGAACAGAGACACGGUCCGGACUCCUACGGGAGGCAGCAGUGGGGAAUAUUGGAAAAGGGGCGCAAGCCUGAUGCAGCCAUGCCGCGUGUGUGAAGAGGGCCUUCGGGUUGUAAAGUACUUUCAGCGAGGAGGCGUUACUCGCAGAAGAAGCACCGGCUAACUCCGUGACAGCAGCCGCGGUAAUAC
rnacentral:rRNA from 1 species